AGCAGUGUGGCUUAGUGGAAAGAGCCCGGGCUUCGGAGUCAGAGGGCGUGGGUUCUAAUCCCACCUCCGCCA
rnacentral:tRNA from 1 species